rnacentral:lncRNA from 1 species
CGCCGGACGGACGGCUUCUUCUUCUUCUUCAUCGAGGGAGGAGAGAGGAAAACAGAAAAACAACCAGGCGAAAGGAGGAGCGAGGAAGGCAAGCCGCCCUUGCCGUCGAUGGUUCGGGGGGUACCUGCGUACCGAAGACACGUUGCCAGUCGCGAGCCGGUCGACGUGCUUCGCUCGUCCGCGGCACGCAUCGCCGUCAAGGCAGGCCAUGCCUGCUACAAGCGUGCCUCUGGCGCGGCGUGCUCGUCACACGUCCUCCCUGUUCUAGCAACACUAGCCGUUCCUGACUCCAGGAUACAUCAGCGUGUUCUUGCGGAUACCCACGUCCAGGAGUGCUCAGUGUCCAGUGCUGCGGUGCGCGGAAUCGGGAGCUGAUCCAAGUGCGCGUGGUUCCAAAACCUCGCGAGCUAGUGCGCGCGCGAUCUUCGGGAUCUGGCGGUGGUGCUUUGUGAUCGUAAGGUUCGUGAGUGUCGACUCCUUCGUCUUGGCGGUGCCGCGUGGAUUUUUCAAGGUCCCACUUUUGCGGCUUGGAAAGGAAUCCUAGCGUUGUUUGUGUGUGUGGCCUCGUUACCUUCGAUUCGGUGGCACUGGGCGCGCGCAGUGAAUAGAGCCGACGACUGUGCCUUCUUUUGUGCGACGACUCCGUGAUUCUAUUCUCUCCUCAACGGCGCGUUACGGCGCCCCGGAUUCUCUCUUUUGUGGAUGUAGCCAUGUGAACAGGAGCCAGUGUGGUCAUGCGGGAGGCUUGCCGCAAUGGCGGACCUCCUUCGGCGGCUUCCUGCUCCGAAGUCCGGGACCUCGGGAAGCAGCGGGCGGCGCCGGUGGUGCCGCUGCAAGGGCCCGUUUCUGGUCAGCAGUGAAGCACGGGUUCCACACUCUCGCGCCCUUGCUGUGACGUGGUGGACCUGCCGGAGGAAGUGGAAAUGGCGGGUCCGGACCACGUGCCGACCCUGGCCGAGAGGCUCUACCAGGCAGCCGUGGCGGGACAGACGGAGACCGUGGUCGAACUGUGCCGCAUCGGAGCCAGGAUCGAAGCAGAUCCGGAGGGUCGCACGGCUCUGCACAUGGCCGCCGCCAACGGUUACGUGGACACCGCCCGGGCACUCAUCUUAGCCGGAGCCAAAGUCAACGCCCUGGAUGCU